rnacentral:rRNA from 1 species
AUUGAACGCUGGCGGCAUGCCUUACACAUGCAAGUCGAACGGCAGCGGGCCUUCGGGUGCCGGCGAGUGGCGAACGGGUGAGUAAUGCAUCGGAACGUGCCAUUGAGUGGGGGAUAACGUAGCGAAAGUUACGCUAAUACCGCAUAUUCUGUGAGCAGGAAAGCAGGGGACCGCAAGGCCUUGCGCUCUUUGAGCGGCCGAUGUCAGAUUAGCUAGUUGGUGAGGUAAAGGCUUACCAAGGCGACGAUCUGUAGCGGGUCUGAGAGGAUGAUCCGCCACACUGGAACUGAGACACGGUCCAGACUCCUACGGGAGGCAGCAGUGGGGAAUAUUGCACAAUGGGCGCAAGCCUGAUGCAGCGACGCCGCGUGGGGGAUGACGGCCUUCGGUUGUAACCUCGUUUCAGUCAUCGACGAAGCGCAAGU